rnacentral:rRNA from 1 species
UACGUAUGUUCCAAGCGUUAUCCGGAUUUAUUGGGCGUAAAGCGAGCGCAGACGGUUAUUUAAGUCUGAAGUGAAAGCCCUCGGCUCAACCGAGGAAUUGCUUUGGAAACUGGAUAACUUGAGUGCAGUAGAGGAAAGUGGAACUCCAUGUGUAGCGGUGAAAUGCGUAGAUAUAUGGAAGAACACCAGUGGCGAAGGCGGCUUUCUGGACUGUAACUGACGUUGAGGCUCGAAAGUGUGGGUAGCAAACAGG